rfam:Salmo salar isolate Sally breed double haploid chromosome ssa19, whole genome shotgun sequence.
GCUCAGUUGGUAGAGCAUGGCGCUUGCAACGCCAGGGUUGUGGGUUCGAUUCCCAC